rnacentral:rRNA from 1 species
AACGUAGGAGACGAACGUUAUCCGGAGUUACUGGGCGUAAAGGGCGUGUAGGCGGCGUUCUAAGUUCGGCGUGAAAUCGUUCGGCUCAACCGGGCGAUGUCGUCGGAGACUGGGAUGCUCGAGGGCGGUAGAGGCGUGUGGAAUUCCGGGUGUAGUGGUGAAAUGCGUAGAGAUCCGGAGGAACACCAGUGGCGAAGGCGACACGCUGGGCCGCACCUGACGCUAAUGCGCGACAGCAUGGGGAGCGAACGGG